UCAGGACGAACGCUGGCGGCGUGCCUAAUACAUGCAAGUCGAGCGGACAGAUGGGAGCUUGCUCCCUGAUGUUAGCGGCGGACGGGUGAGUAACACGUGGGUAACCUGCCUGUAAGACUGGGAUAACUCCGGGAAACCGGGGCUAAUACCGGAUGGUUGUUUGAACCGCAUGGUUCAGACAUAAAAGGUGGCUUCGGCUACCACUUACAGAUGGACCCGCGGCGCAUUAGCUAGUUGGUGAGGUAACGGCUCACCAAGGCGACGAUGCGUAGCCGACCUGAGAGGGUGAUCGGCCACACUGGGACUGAGACACGGCCCAGACUCCUACGGGAGGCAGCAGUAGGGAAUCUUCCGCAAUGGACGAAAGUCUGACGGAGCAACGCCGCGUGAGUGAUGAAGGUUUUCGGAUCGUAAAGCUCUGUUGUUAGGGAAGAACAAGUGCCGUUCAAAUAGGGCGGCACCUUGACGGUACCUAACCAGAAAGCCACGGCUAACUACGUGCCAGCAGCCGCGGUAAUACGUAGGUGGCAAGCGUUGUCCGGAAUUAUUGGGCGUAAAGGGCUCGCAGGCGGUUUCUUAAGUCUGAUGUGAAAGCCCCCGGCUCAACCGGGGAGGGUCAUUGGAAACUGGGGAACUUGAGUGCAGAAGAGGAGAGUGGAAUUCCACGUGUAGCGGUGAAAUGCGUAGAGAUGUGGAGGAACACCAGUGGCGAAGGCGACUCUC
rnacentral:rRNA from 1 species